rnacentral:lncRNA from 1 species
AUCUGUUACGUGCCAGGUCCUGUGUCAAAUGAUGGAGGAAGUGAAAAUGCGUAAGACACAGUCUCACUUUGAAGAGUUCUCAGCCUUGUGGGCAAAGGCAGGAAGGUUCAUUGUGUGGCUUGAGUGCACACAGGGAGGCUUUAAAGAAUGUGAGAGGAAUAUGAGGAACAGAUGCUGCCCUGGAGUGACUCGCAUCUCGCCCGAAGAGACAAACAAGGCACCCAACAACCACAGAACCAAAGUGAAGGAGAAAUAAAGACACUCCCAGAAAAAUACUGAGGAAAUCUGUCUCCAAUAGAACUGCCUUGCAAGAAAUAUUAAAAGAAGUUUUUCAGAGAGAAGGAAAACAAUGUUGGUCAGAAGCUCAAAUCUACAUAAAGAAAGGAUGGAGAAAGAAUGAAUGAAGG